rnacentral:tRNA from 1 species
GGGAAAGUAGCUCAGAUGGUAGAGCAGUUUAAUCUUUUAAAAUAGGUGGGAAACCUAAUCCAUUACUAAUGGAAAGUUAAGCGAGGCGGUGGUUCGAAUCCAUCCUUUUCCACAA